CGUUUUAUGAUUUUAGUAUUGAUGUCAAGACAGUUUUUAUCAUUAUUGUGCUAGGCAAUGGGUUCUGGUUUGUCCACCUUUUUGCCCACCCGCCAAAAUUUGAAUCAGAUUUUUCGGUUCAAUGAACACGGGCAUAUCAUAGUACUAGCGACCUUGAUUAAAAUAUCAACCCAAGGGUCCAAACUUACAGUGGUUUCAAAUCAAAUUGAAAUUGGCUUCGUAUUGAAUCCCAGAAUUCACUUCUGUGGCAGUUAGAGCUAUUUCCGUUCCCCCAAAAUAGAACAUAGCAGUUAUUGGUCUUCCGCCUUCACAUGGAUCAGAAAGAGGGAUGGUUAAUGUACCGAGAUGAGAACAACUAUUUUCAUCGGUAUAUUGCGGAUCCUCGUCUGUUGAUAUAUGUCGGCAUAAAGCUCUACAGAGAUUAUGUUUGUAAUGUUCAUGUGACCCCGACUUAAAAUAAAAUUUUCUAUUCUAUUCUAUUCUUAAGUUAAAGUUAUU
rnacentral:lncRNA from 1 species